UCAAGCUACUAAGGGUGAACGGUGGAUGCCUUGGCGCUGAGCGGCGAUGAAGGACGUAGCAGGCUGCGAUAAGCCUCGGGGAGCCGCGAGCAGGCUGUGAUCCGGAGGAUCUCCGAAUGGGGAAACCCGGCUGGGGUCAUGCCCAGUCACGCCAUGGCUGAAUCCAUAGGCUGUGGCGAGCGAACCCGGGGAAGUGAACCAUCUCAGUACCCGGAGGAAAAGAAAGCAACAGCGAUUCCGUCAGUAGCGGCGAGCGAACGCGGAACAGCCCAAACCUCGUACGUGCCAAGCUGGCAGGCGUUGCGUACGGGGGGUAGUGGGGCCCGAUGGGGUUCGGCUGCCACCGAACCGGGGAGUUACAAAGUACCCGCCUAGCAGAACGGUCUGGAACGGCCGGCCAUAGAGGGUGACAGCCCCGUAUGCGAAAGGUGCGGUACCUCCCUAAUCGGGUACCCAAGUACCACGGGACACGUGGAACCCUGUGGGAAUCUGGGAGGACCACCUCCUAAGGCUAAAUACGUCUCAGCGACCGAUAGCGAACCAGUACCGUGAGGGAAAGGUGAAAAGUACCCCUGUGAGGGGAGUGAAAGAGUACCUGAAACCGUUCACCUACAAGCAGUGGGAGGGCUAUGCCCAGCAGCAAUGCUGGGAAUGCCUGACUGCGUGCCUUUUGCAUAAUGAGCCGGCUAGUUACUCUCGGCGGCGAGGUUAAGCCUUUUGCGAAGCCGUAGGGAAACCGAGUCCGAAUAGGGCGUCGAGUCGUCGGGAGUAGACGCGAAGCGGGAUGAUCUACCCUUGGCCAGGAUGAAGCGUGGGUAACACCACGUGGAGGUCCGAACCAGUGUUGGUUGAAAACAGCUUGGAUGAGCUGAGGGUAGGGGUGAAAGGCCAAUCAAAUUCCGUGAUAGCUCGUUCUCCCCGAAAUAGCUUUAGGGCUAGCCUCGCGUGGUCCGUGGCGGUGGUAGAGCACUGGAUGGGUUAGGGACCUUAACCGGUUACCGACCCCAACCAAACUCCGAAUGCCGCCAACGUCAAGCGCGGGAGUCAGACGGCGGGGGAUAAGCUUCGUCGUCAAAAGGGAAAGAACCCAGACCGCCAGCUAAGGUCCCCAAAUGACAGCUAAGUGGGAAAGGAUGUGGGGUUGCUGGGACAGCCAGGAGGUUGGCUUAGAAGCAGCCAUCCUUUAAAGAAAGCGUAAUAGCUCACUGGUCUAGCGACCCUGUGCCGAAAAUUCAACGGGGCUUAAGCUGUCUACCGAAGCUGCGGAUCUGCGCGGCCUGCGGGUCGUGCAGGUGGUAGGGGAGCGUUCCAUGCGCGGUGAAGUCAGACCGCGAGGACUGGUGGAGCGCAUGGAAGUGACUCUGCCGGCACAAGUAGCGAUAAAGCAGACGAGAACUCUGCUCGCCGGAAGCCUAAGGUUUCCUGAGCAAGGUCAAUCCGCUCAGGGUGAGUCGGUCCCUAAGGCGAGGCCGAACGGCGUAGUCGAUGGGAAACGGGUUAAUAUUCCCGUACCACUCUGUCCUCGUUAUCACGAUGGGGUGACGCAGAAGGAUAGGCGGGACUGCGAUUGGAAGUGCAGUUGAAAGCGUGUAGGCGGGGGUGGUAGGCAAAUCCGCUGCCCCGUUAACGCCGAGGCGCGAUGACGAGUAGGCGUAAGCCGAAAGCCGCUGAUUCCACGCUGCCGAGAAAAACCUCUAAGGAGAGGGCAGGGUGACCGUACCGCAAACGGACACACGUAGGCAGGGUGAGUAACCCAAGGCGCUUGAGUGAUCCCCCGUGAAGGAACUCGGCAAAAUGGCCCCGUAACUUCGGGAGAAGGGGCGCCUCCUGCCGUGUAGAUCCUUGCGGUCGAAGCGGUGGGGGGUCGCAGUGAAAGGGCCCAGGCGACUGUUUACUAAAAACACAGCACUCUGCAAACGUCACAAGCGGACGUAUAGGGUGUGAAGCCUGCCCGGUGCCGGAAGGUUAAGGGGAGGGGUUAUC
rnacentral:rRNA from 1 species